rnacentral:tRNA from 1 species
UGGGGAGUAGCCAAGUGGUAAGGCAACGGGCUUUGAACCCGUCAUUCGUAGGUUCGAACCCUACCUCCCCAG